rnacentral:rRNA from 1 species
GACGAACGCUGGCGGCGUGCCUAAUACAUGCAAGUCGAACGCACUCUCGUUUAGAUUGAAGGAGCUUGCUCCUGAUUGAUAAACAUUUGAGUGAGUGGCGGACGGGUGAGUAACACGUGGGUAACCUGCCCUAAAGUGGGGGAUAACAUUUGGAAACAGAUGCUAAUACCGCAUAAAACCGUAACACCGCAUGGUGUAGGGUUGAAAGAUGGUUUCGGCUAUCACUUUAGGAUGGACCCGCGGUGCAUUAGUUAGUUGGUGAGGUAAAGGCUCACCAAGACCGUGAUGCAUAGCCGACCUGAGAGGGU